GCCCUUUCAACCAGCUUCCUGAUUGAAUCCCCUCGCCAUCAGUCGCUCUCCCCCAGUUUGUUUCCCAAGGAAGACCCGAUCUAAAGUGGGCAGCACCCUCCCCCAUGCUGGAAUCCUGAACUGUAGCGAAGGUGUGAGAGGGUUUCGUACCAGCGGCAGGAGAAUGGGAUAGUCCUGCGUGCUGGCUGAGGAGCUGUUCACUCUCUGGAGAAGGAAAUGCAUUUCUAGUGUGCUGAUUAUCUUACACCAAGUGGCCUCUCCACCCCUGAAAGCCAGGACUUUCACAGAAGACUCAGCCUGGUAGGAAGUCCCAUUCUCAGGACACUAACACAAGAGACUCUUCCUUGCCCUGGGUCUGCUGAGUGAGACUCAAGGCUGAGAGGCUGAGCCACAGCCACGGUGGUGUCUCUGUAUUUUCUAGAAGGCGCAAACACAGAACUGAACAGAUAUCACGUAGUUUCCUAAUGCAUAUUUAAUCAACGUUUUAUGUCAGCGAAAUAUCAACACAAGGUUUGUAAUUUAGAAAUCAGCGAGUCUGGUUUUCCUUCAGUCAAUUCCUCAUGCAUAUUGAGCUGGAAACAAACCAGCUUAUGGAAGGUUUAGUUUUGUUAAAAAAAAAUGGCAUUUUAAAAUUUUUUUCAAAAUUGUUAUGACUUGAUCUGAUAGCCAUUUUGUUAAGUCUACUUACAGCUGAGAAAAGGAAAUCCAUUUUCUUUAAGACAGGGCUUCUAACUGUGUUGCCUUGGCUGUCCUGGAACUUACUCUGUAGGCCAGGCUGGUCUUGAACUCACAGAGAUCUGCCUGCCUCUGCCUUCUGAGCUGGAGAGAUGGCUCACUGUUGAAAGGCCAGACUCACAACCAAAAACAGAGUGAUUUUUCUGUAAACCAGCUAUCUUUUAUUGAGUUUCCUAUAAUUAUUUCAAGGUAAAAAAUAUGAAUUUAACACCAAUUUUUAAAAUGCUUGAUAUUAUUCCUUAAAAAUUAAAAAAAAUAUUUCUUUUUUUUUCUUUUUUUAAUUUUCGAGACAGGGUUUCUCCGUAGCUUUUUGGUUCCUGUCCUAGAACUAGCUCUUAUAGACCAGGCUGUCCUCGAACUAAAAUUUUUUUAAAAAACAAAAGCCAACUACUAACAAAGCAUAAGACAGCAGUAAGUGCCAAAGGAUGAUAAUAUUCUAGAUUGAAAUAAAAUUUGGUAAGUCAAUAUAGACCUGAAAAAGAAUGGGGGAAAUAACAUAAGUGCAGCCGUGGCUGGUGGUUUAGAGUUCACCCUUGAGUUGUAGGUGCCUGAGAAUUGACCACAAGGAGGAAGAACAGGCCUCUGGUGAUGGACAAACUUGCAUUGAUUCAGACUCUGGCCUCUGGUCAAGGAUAACGGUUCCCAGGUUGCUUCUUCUGGAAUGAUUUAGAUGUGCCAAAUGCACAGAUGGAAAACACACACAUACACUUGUACAUACAAGUCCCCUGAGCACCGCUUUAUCCCUGUACAUGUCAUUAGAUACAGCCUCAGGGCCUCUUGGGAAAAAAUUACACUGCUUUUCAUUUCACACAAAGAACAGGCUCUUUAACCGGUGACACAGGGCAAGCACAGCCCGCCUGGGGAGAAAGGCCUGUGUGUGCCAGGUCUGCACAACUCCAUCCCACUAGGAUCCCAUGACCAUUAUAGAAAUUAUGGCUAUAAGGUUGACCACAGUAAGAAAGCAAAGCGUUCUUCCCUGGGUGGUGCCAGGGGUAGCACUGCUUCAUCACCAAAGGGCAUUAGAAGCUCCACAGGGAAACCAUGAGGGGAGCUUGUAACUCUAUCCUCCCAGCCUGCUCGGUGCACACUCCAAAGGCUACAGUGGCUUUACUGCCAAAGGACACUACACAAAGUCUACCAUUUGAGGUCUUCCAGUUGUUUGUGUUUUAACAAAAAUAUAAUAUCACACACACACACACAAACACACACACACACAAUGUUCAUAGCCUCAUCCUAGACUGUCUAAAUUCCACACUGGCUUGGCGUGUUGGCAAAGCACACCACCAUUUAAGAUCUCAGUUUCAUAACCUCAAAAAACUGAUGCAAGAAUAAUAAAAACUCAACUCUAUACGGAGAACUAUGAGCAACUAAAGAAAUCUGAGAGAGGGAGAGGUGACCUGUCUUUUCUGGGGAAGAGCACACCAACUGAACUGAACAGGUUAUAUUUAGGAUUGUGGUGUGUAUGUGUGUGUUAUCAUAUAUGCAUAGAAUAACAAUGAAUGAGAAAGAGGCCAUGAAUUUGGAGGAGAGAUGAGUGUUGUAUGGGAGGGUUUAGAGGAAGGGAAAACAAGGGAGAAAUGUUGUAAUUAAAUGAUAAUCUGAAAACACAAAACAUUAAAAACCAAACAAACUUUUGUUUUUAACCAUUUUGUCUAUUCCUAUGGAACCAAUGUAACCAGUAGAGACUUCUGGAAACCCCUGGCA